rnacentral:rRNA from 1 species
UACGGAGGGGGCUAGCGUUGUUCGGAAUUACUGGGCGUAAAGCGUACGUAGGCGGCUUUGUAAGUUAGAGGUGAAAGCCCGGGGCUCAACUCCGGAAUUGCCUUUAAGACUGCAUCGCUUGAAUCAUGGAGAGGUGAGUGGAAUUCCGAGUGUAGAGGUGAAAUUCGUAGAUAUUGGGAAGAACACCGGUGGCGAAGGCGGCUCACUGGCUCGUAACUGACGCUCAGGCGCGACAGCGUGGGGAUCAAACAGG